AUUCCUGACCUCAAGUGAUCCACCCGCCUCAGCCUCCCAAAGUGCUGGGAUUACAGGCAUGAGCCACCAGGCCCAGCUAUUCUUUUUUGUUGAUAAGUAAUAUUCCAUUGUAUAAAUAGACCACAUUUUAUUUCUCCAUGCAUCGGUUGGUGGACAUUUAGGUCAUUACUACUUCAUGACUAUUAUGAAUAGCCAUAUGAAUGCUUCCAUGAAUAUUCGUGCUCAAGUUUUCACGUGAACAUAUAUUUUCAGUUUUCUUGGUAUAUGCUCAGGAGUGUAAUUGCUGGGUCAUAUGGCAGCUUUCUUUGAGGAACUGUCAGACUGUUUCCCAAAGCAGCUGCACCAUUUCCCAUUCUCACCAGCAGUGGUGAGGGUUCCAAUUUCUCCACAUCCUUGCCGACACUUUUUAUUAUCUUUUUCAGUAUAGCCAUUGCAGUGGAUGUCAAGUGGUAUCUUAUGUGGUUAUAAUUCCUAAUGGCUAAGGAUGUUGACCUUUUUUUCCAGUUUACUUUUGAAUUCUCUCUAACUCCCCUGUGCCUGCUUAUUUAGGUCCUAGCCAUCUCCUUUUUUUUUUUUUUUUUUUCAAGAGACAAGGUCUUGCUCUGUGGCCCAGGCUGGAGUGCAGUGGCACAAUCAUAGCUCACUGCAGCCUCAAACUCCUGGACUCAAGCCAUCCUCCUCCUUCAACCUCCUGAGUAGCUGGCACUAUGGCACUAUUUUUUGUAAAGAGAGGGUCUUGCUAUGUUGGCCAGGCUGGUCUCAAACUCCUGGGCUCAAGCCAUCCUCCCACCUCAGCCUCCUGAGUAGUUGCAAUUACAGGCUCCAGCCACUGCACCUGGCACUCACUGCACCUGGCACUCACCGUCUCCUCUCUGACUGAUUUGCAUGCCUCCUAACUGGGCUUUCCAUUUUCCAUUUCACUCCCUAUGAUGCAAUCCUGGACCAUGUCACUUUCUGUUUAAAACCUUGAAUGACUCCCUAUUGCCCACAGGACAGAGCCUGCACUUUGAAGUAUGGCAUUCAAGACCCUUCACAGUCAGUCUCCACCCUAUCUUUCUGGGUCCCAUUUCCCUCUGUCCCCUCCAGUGCAGCCAUCCUGUGCCUUUGCCCAUGCUGUUCUCUCUUAUAAUCCCUUCCCUGAAGUGUCCCUACUCAGUACCUACUUAUCCUUUAAAACCUAGCUCAGGCAGGGUGCAGUGGCUCACGCCUUUAAUCCCAGCACUUUGGGAGGACAAGGUGGGAAGAUGGCUUGAGCUCAGGAGUUCGAGACCAGCCUGGGCAACAUGGUGAAACCCCGUCCCUACGAAAAAUACAAAAAUUAGCCGGGCAUGGUGCUGUGUGCCUGUAAUCCCAGCUACUUGGGAGGCUGAGGUGGGAGGAUCACUUGAGCCCAGGAGGCUGAGGCUGCAGUGAGCUGUGAUUGUACCACUGCAUUUUAGACUGGGCAGCAGAGUGAGACUCUGUCUCAAAAAAAAAAAAAAACCCUAGCUCAGACAGAAACUUCUGAGUGAAGCCUGUCUAAGAUCACCUCCAGACAGGGCCCUCCUGCUGUACAACUCCAAGGGAGGUGAUUCUCAUGGUCAUCUAUGUCAGGAUCAGCAAAGUCCAGCCCAUAGGCCAAAUCCACAAAUCCAGCCCACCACCUGUUUUUGUGUGUUGCAUGAACUAAGAAUGAUUUUCAUUUUUGAACAGAUGUAAAUAAUUUAAAAGUAAAAUGAAAAGUGGAAUACAGCCAUGCUUAUUUGUUUACAUAUUGUCUAUUGCUACUUUCGUGCUACAAGAGCAGAGAUGGUGGCCCACAAAGCAUAAAAUAUUUACUAUUGGCUGGGUGCAGUAGCUCACACCUGUAAUCCCAUCAUUUUGGGAGGCCAAGGCAGGAGGAUCUCGAGGUCAGGGGUUCG
rnacentral:lncRNA from 1 species